rnacentral:rRNA from 1 species
UUGGAGGGCAAGUCUGGUGCCUGCAGCCGCGGUAAUUCCAGCUCCAAUAGCGUAUAUUAAAGUUGUUGCAGUUAAAAAGCUCGUAGUUGAAUUUCGGGAUCAAUUUAUUGGUCGUGCUAUUGUACGUACUGGUAUUAUUGAUUCCUACCUUCUGACGAACCAUGAUGUCAUUAAUUUGGUGUCUUGGGGAAUCAGGACUGUUACUUUGAAAAAAUUAGAGUGUUUAAAGCAGGCUCACGCUUGAAUACAUUAGCAUGGAAUAACGAAAUAGGACGUUUGAUUCUAUUUUGUUGGUUUCUAGGAUCGACGUAAUGAUUAAUAGGGAUAGUUGGGGGCAUUAGUAUUCAAUUGUCAGAGGUGAAAUUCUUGGAUUUAUUGAAGACUAACUACUGCGAAAGCAUUUGCCAAGGAUGUUUUCAUUAAUCAAGAACGAAAGUUAGGGGAUCGAAGACGAUCAGAUACCGUCGUAGUCUUAACCAUAAACUAUGCCGACUAGGGAUCGGAUGAUGUUAAUUUUUUAAUGACUCCUUCGGCGCCUUACGGGAAAC